GAUGAACGCUGGCGGCGUGCCUAAUACAUGCAAGUCGAGCGAACAGACGAGGAGCUUGCUCCUUUGACGUUAGCGGCGGACGGGUGAGUAACACGUAGGUAACCUACCUAUAAGACUGGGAUAACUUCGGGAAACCGGAGCUAAUACCGGAUAAUAUUUCGAACCGCAUGGUUCGAUAGUGAAAGAUGGCUUUGCUAUCACUUAUAGAUGGACCUGCGCCGUAUUAGCUAGUUGGUAAGGUAACGGCUUACCAAGGCAACGAUACGUAGCCGACCUGAGAGGGUGAUCGGCCACACUGGAACUGAGACACGGUCCAGACUCCUACGGGAGGCAGCAGUAGGGAAUCUUCCGCAAUGGGCGAAAGCCUGACGGGGCAACGCCGCGUGAGUGAUGAAGGUCUUCGGAUCGUAAAACUCUGUUAUUAGGGAAGAACAAACGUGUAAGUAACUGUGCACGUCUUGACGGUACCUAAUCAGAAAGCCACGGCUAACUACGUG
rnacentral:rRNA from 1 species